GACGAACGCUGGCGGCGUGCUUAACACAUGCAAGUCGAACGGAAAGGCCCUGCUUUUGUGGGGUGCUCGAGUGGCGAACGGGUGAGUAACACGUGAGUAACCUGCCCUUGACUUUGGGAUAACUUCAGGAAACUGGGGCUCAUACCGGAUAGGAGCUCCUGCUGCAUGGUGGGGGUUGGAAAGUUUCGGCGGUUGGGGCUGGACUCGCGGCUUAUGAGCUUGUUGGUGGGGUAGUGGCUUACCAAGGCUUUGACGGAUAGCCGGCCUGAGAGGGUGACCGGCCACAUUGGGACUGAGAUAGGGCCCAGACGCGUACGGGAGGCAGCAGUGGGGAAUAUUGCACAAUGGGCGGAAGCCUGAUGCAGCAACGCCGCGUGCGGGAUGACGGCCUUCGGGUUGUAAACCGCUUUCGCCUGUGACGAAGCGUGAGUGACGGUAAUGGGUAAAGAAGCACCGGCUAACUACGUG
rnacentral:rRNA from 1 species